rnacentral:snRNA from 1 species
UCCACCUGUUGAAGGUGCAUCCG